GACUUUCUGCCUUUAAAAGCUAGGAUCAAAUCUUUUCUCUUUCACUCAGGUACACAUGUAUACCUUCAGCACAUCCCACAUAUGUGUCCCUGUUUCUAUGGAUACUCUCAGAAGGAGACAUCAUCUGUGAAAGAAAAAGGGAAGACCCAGAGGAAUCUGGGAGGCCUUAUUCAAAAAGAAAUCCCAGAGUGGUUAUAUCCCAAUCAUGGCAAUACUCAGUCUUCCCAGGUGAGAUGAAAUUCUGCAAAAGGUACCCUCUGGAAAUCAGAAUCUUGAUCCUAUUGGUGAGAGUUCUUCAGUCAGUCCAAUCUCAGGUAUGUCUUUCUCAGCAGUGUGAAAAUGGACUAAUAUGGUAAAUUGGUAACAGCAGAGUGGAAUUGCUGUUAAAGAUACCUGAAAAUGUGGAAAUGACUUUGGAACUAAGUGUAAGGCAGAGGAUGGAACUAUUUGGAGGAUUCAGAAGAAGACAGGAAAAUGUGGGGAAGUUUGGAACUUCUUAGAGAUUUGUUGAAUGGCUUUGACCAAAAAAGCCUGAUAGCAAUAUGGAUGAUAAGGUCCAAGCUGAGGUGAACUCACAUAAGGAACUUGUUGAGAACUGAAGCAAUGGUGCUUGUUAUGUUUUAGCAAAAAGACUGCUGAGAUUUUGCCCCUGCCCUAGAGAUUUAUGAAACUUUGAUCUUGAGAAAGAGAUGAUUUAGGGUAUCUGGUGAAAGAAAUUUUUAAGCAUCAAAGCAUUCAAGAGGUGACUUGGGUGUGGUUAAAGGCAUUCAGUUUUAUAAGGAAAGGAAAGACUAAAAGUUCAGAAAAUUUGCAGCCUGACAAAUGUGAUAGAAAAGAAAAACUCAUUUUCUGAGAAGAUAUUCAAGCCAUCUGCAGAACUUUGCAUAAGGAGCCAAUUGUUAAUCCCCAAGAUAAUGGGGAAAAUGACUCUAGGGCAUGUCAGAGGUCUUCACACCAGCCCCUCCUAUCACAGGCCUGGAGACCAAGGAGAAAAUGAUUUAACAACCCAGGGUUCUCAUGAUGUCCUGUGUGCAGCCUAAGGACUUGAUGCCUUGCCUCACAACUGCUCCAGCUGUGGCUGAAAGAGGUCAACAUAGAGCUCAAGGCCAUAGUUUAAGAGGGUGCAAGCGCCAAGCUUUGGCAGCUUCCACAUGGUGUUGAGCCUGCAAGUGCACUGAAGUCAAGAAUUGGAGUCUGGAAAC
rnacentral:lncRNA from 1 species